rnacentral:lncRNA from 1 species
UUUGGUAGCGUACAGUAUGAUCAGACUGAUCCACUAGGAUGUAGGUAUAUAACCGGUGGCACUGAUUUUAUAUAAUAAAUGACUGCAUGUUUUCACAUAAUAACAUAGUGGCUUUGUUUUGGACAGGUGAAGGACUCGACUGAUUGGUGCUAGCAAUCCGGUGCCGUACACAGUCAUAUAUUAUAGAAAUCAGCUAGAUCAGCAGCGUGAUGAUCAGAUACUGUGGGU